rnacentral:rRNA from 1 species
AGUGAACGCUGGCGGUAGGCCUAACACAUGCAAGUCGAACGGCAGCACAGUAAGAGCUUGCUCUUACGGGUGGCGAGUGGCGGACGGGUGAGGAAUACAUCGGAAUCUACUUUUUCGUGGGGGAUAACGUAGGGAAACUUACGCUAAUACCGCAUACGACCUACGGGUGAAAGCAGGGGAUCUUCGGACCUUGCGCGAUUGAAUGAGCCGAUGUCGGAUUAGCUAGUUGGCGGGGUAAAGGCCCACCAAGGCGACGAUCCGUAGCUGGUCUGAGAGGAUGAUCAGCCACACUGGAACGGAGACACGGUCCAGACUCCUACGGAAGGCAGCAGUGGGAAAUUUUGGACAAUGGGCGCAAGCCUGAUCCAGCCAUACCGCGUGGGUGAAGAAGGCCUUCGGGUUGUAAAGCCCUUUUGUUGGGAAAGAAAAGCAGCAGGUUAAUACCCCGCUGUUCUGACGGUACCCAAAGAAUAAGCACCGGCUAACUUCGU